UACGUAGGGGGCAAGCGUUAUCCGGAUUCACUGGGUGUAAAGGGAGCGUAGACGGCCAGACAAGUCUGAAGUGAAAAUCCAGGGCUUAACGUUGGAAGUGCUUUGGAAACUGCCGGGCUGGAGUGCAGGAGGGGUAAGCGGAAUUCCUAGUGUAGCGGUGAAAUGCGUAGAUAUUAGGAGGAACACCGGCGGCGAAGGCGGCUUACUGGACCGUAACUGACGUUGAGGCUCGAAAGCGUGGGGAGCAAACAGG
rnacentral:rRNA from 1 species